AACGAACGCUGGCGGCAUGCCUAACACAUGCAAGUCGAACGAGACCUUCGGGUCUAGUGGCGCACGGGUGCGUAACGCGUGGGAAUCUACCCUUGGGUUCGGAAUAACAGUUAGAAAUGACUGCUUAUACCGGAUGAUGACGUAAGUCCAAAGAUUUAUCGCCCAAGGAUGAGCCCGCGUAAGAUUAGCUUGUUGGUGGGGUAAUGGCCUACCAAGGCGACGAUCUUUAGCUGGUCUGAGAGGAUGAUCGGCCACACUGGGACUGAGACACGGCCCAGACUCCUACGGGAGGCAGCAGUGGGGAAUAUUGGACAAUGGGCGAAAGCCUGAUCCAGCAAUGCCGCGUGAGUGAUGAAGGCCUUAGGGUUGUAAAGCUCUUUUACCAGGGAUGAUAAUGACAGUACCUGGAGAAUAAGCUCCGGCUAACUCCGUGCCAGCCGCCGCUGUAA
rnacentral:rRNA from 1 species